CAUAAUCAUUUGUCUUUUAAUUAAGGACUGGAAUGAAAGGUUUGACUAUGUAUUUCUGUCUUAUAAUAAUAUUUUGAAAUUUAUAUUUUAGUAAAAAAGCUAAAAUUAUUUAUAGGGACGAGAAGACCCUAUCAAGUUUUACAAUCUAAAAUUUAUUUUCAAAUUAAAUUUAAAAUUGUUUUGCUGGGGCAGCAGAUAAAAAAUUUUUAUUUUAAAAUUAUGAUAAAUAAAUCUUGAAAAAUCAAAAAAUUUUUAAUUAAAAAUAAAUUACUGUAGGGAUAACAGCAUAAUUUUUUUAGAGAGUUCUUAUCAUCAAAAAAGUUUGUGACCUCGAUGUUGGAUUAAAAUUCCUAAAUUCGUGCAAUAA
rnacentral:rRNA from 1 species